UACAGAGACUGCAAGCGUUAUUCGGAUUCACUGGGCGUAAAGGGUGCGUAGGCGGUCCUAUAAGUAUGGUGUGAAAUCUCCCGGCUUAACUGGGAGGGUGCGCUAUAGACUGUGGGACUAGAGUGUGGGAGAGGAAAGUGGAAUUCCUGGUGUAGCGGUGAAAUGCGUAGAUAUCAGGAGGAACACCGGUGGUGUAAACGGCUUUCUGGACCAUAACUGACGCUGAGGCACGAAAAGCGUGGGUAGCAAACAGG
rnacentral:rRNA from 1 species